rnacentral:rRNA from 1 species
GAUGAACGCUAGCGGCAGGCCUAACACAUGCAAGUCGAGGGGUAGAAGGAGCUUGCUCCUUUGAGACCGGCGCACGGGUGCGUAACGCGUAUGCAAUCUACCUUUUACGGAGGGAUAGCCCAGAGAAAUUUGGAUUAAUACCUCAUAGUAUAUAUCAUUCGCAUGUUUGGUAUAUUAAAGUUCCAACGGUAAAAGAUGAGCAUGCGUCCCAUUAGUUAGUUGGUAAGGUAACGGCUUACCAAGACGAUGAUGGGUAGGGGUCCUGAGAGGGAGAACCCCCACACUGGUACUGAGACACGGACCAGACUCCUACGGGAGGCAGCAGUGAGGAGUAUUGGUCAAUGGACGCAAGUCUGAACCAGCCAUGCCGCGUGCAGGAAGACGGUCCUAUGGAUUGUAAACUGCUUUUGUACGGGAAGAAACACUCCUACGUGUAGGAGCCUGACGGUACCGUAAGAAUAAGGAUCGGCUAACUCCGUGCCAGCCGCCGCCGUAACAC